rfam:Ovis aries breed Texel chromosome 17, whole genome shotgun sequence.
UAGCUCAGUUGGUAAAUCAUCUGCCUGCAAUGCAGGAGACCCAGGUUCGAUUCCUGG